UUGUCUCAAAGAUUAAGCCAUGCAUGUCUCAGUACAAGCCGAAUUAAGGUGAAACCGCGAAAGGCUCAUUAAAUCAGUUAUGGUUCCUUAGAUCGUACCCAAUCCUACUUGGAUAACUGUGGUAAUUCUAGAGCUAAUACAUGCAAACAGAGUCCUGACCGGAGACGGAAAGGACGCUUUUAUUAGAUCAAAACCAAUCGGUGGCGGGUCUCCCGUCAUCGUACACCUUGGUGACUCUGAAUAACUUUUUGCUGAUCGCACGGUCUCGCACCGGCGACGCAUCUUUCAAAUGUCUGCCUUAUCAACUGUCGAUGGUAGGUUCUGCGCCUACCAUGGUUGUAACGGGUAACGGGGAAUCAGGGUUCGAUUCCGGAGAGGGAGCCUGAGAAACGGCUACCACAUCCAAGGAAGGCAGCAGGCGCGCAAAUUACCCACUCCCGGCACGGGGAGGUAGUGACGAAAAAUAACGAUACGGGACUCAUCCGAGGCCCCGUAAUCGGAAUGAGUACACUCUAAACCCUUUAACGAGGAUCAAUUGGAGGGCAAGUCUGGUGCCAGCAGCCGCGGUAAUUCCAGCUCCAAUAGCGUAUAUUAAAGUUGUUGCGGUUAAGCAAGACGGACAGAAGCGAAAGCAUUUGCCAAAAACGUUUUCAUUGAUCAAGAACGAAAGUUAGAGGUUCGAAGGCGAUCAGAUACCGCCCUAGUUCUAACCAUAAACGAUGCCAGCUAGCGAUCCGCCGACGUUCCUCCGAUGACUCGGCGGGCAGCUUCCGGGAAACCAAAGCUUUUGGGUUCCGGGGGAAGUAUGGUUGCAAAGCUGAAACUUAAAGGAAUUGACGGAAGGGCACCACCAGGAGUGGAGCCUGCGGCUUAAUUUGACUCAACACGGGAAACCUCACCAGGCCCGGACACCGGAAGGAUUGACAGAUUGAUAGCUCUUUCUUGAUUCGGUGGGUGGUGGUGCAUGGCCGUUCUUAGUUGGUGGAGCGAUUUGUCUGGUUAAUUCCGAUAACGAACGAGACUCUAGCCUGCUAACUAGGCGCAUUUACGACAUCUCAAAGGUCCGCCGGCCCGGCGUUCGCGUCGCGGUCGAGCGCGAUUUUUACUGUCGGCGUCCAAUUAAUUCUUCUUAGAGGGACAGGCGGCAUUUAGCCGCACGAGAUUGAGCAAUAACAGGUCUGUGAUGCCCUUAGAUGUUCUGGGCCGCACGCGCGCUACACUGAAGGAAUCAGCGUGUCUUCCUAGGCCGAGCGGCCCGGGUAACCCGCUGAACCUCCUUCGUGCUAGGGAUUGGGGCUUGCAAUUGUUCCCCAUGAACGAGGAAUUCCCAGUAAGCGCGAGUCAUAAGCUCGCGUUGAUUACGUCCCUGCCCUUUGUACACACCGCCCGUCGCUACUACCGAUUGAAUGAUUUAGUGAGGUCUUCGGACCGGUACGCGGUGGCGUUUCGAUGUCGCCGAUGUUGCUGGGAAGAUGACCAAACUUGAUCAUUU
rnacentral:rRNA from 1 species